rnacentral:tRNA from 1 species
GCGGGUAUAGCUCAGUGGUAGAGCGCAAGCUUACUGUGCACGAGGCCGUGGGUUUGAUCCCCAGUACCUCUG